rnacentral:rRNA from 1 species
GACGAACGCUGGCGGCGUGCUUAACACAUGCAAGUCGAACGGAAAGGCCCUGCUUUUGUGGGGUGCUCGAGUGGCGAACGGGUGAGUAACACGUGAGUAACCUGCCCUUGACUUUGGGAUAACUUCAGGAAACUGGGGCUAAUACCGUAUAGGAGCUCCUGCUGCAUGGUGGGGGUUGGAAAGUUUCGGCGGUUGGGGAUGGACUCGCGGCUUAUCAGCUUGUUGGUGGGGUAGUGGCUUACCAAGGCUUUGACGGGUAGCCGGCCUGAGAGGGUGACCGGCCACAUUGGGACUGAGAUACGGACCAGACUCCUACGGGAGGCAGCAGUGGGGAAUAUUGCACAAUGGGCGGAAGCCUGAGGCAGCAACGCCGCGUGCGGGAUGACGGCCUGCGGGUUGUAAACCGCUUUCGCCUGUGACGAAGCGUGAGUGACGGUAAUGGGUAAAGAAGCACCGGCUAACUACGUG